GGUGCUCUAGUGGGCUAGAUCUAGUAGGGAGAGCUAACCUUUAAGACCUUGUUUAGUUAGUUGGCUGUCCCAGCUGCAGACCAUAGUCCUGGUCAAUGAUGGGGAUCCACUCUCUUCCCUCACUACAUGGUUAAAUCACAGGCUUGCCAACAGGCAACAAUUUUCUAAAGGAGACUGGCUGCUGAGGGAAACGGAGUUCACAGUGAAGCUGCCAUUGAAAGCUCUUGAGAAGUCCCUCACCCAGCUUCUUGCCAGAGGUUCUCCUCAGGUAGUGCACAAACUUGCCUUUGUGCAAUGUGUCUGUGUGAAGAAAAGAUCUCUGGUUCUCCAUGAAGGGAAAAACAAAAACGAGGGUCUGUAUGGUGACAUCUCUGGGAGAUGCUGUUACUGUUCCAAAAGGCCAUCAGGACUGUAAGGUUUCCUGCAGGUUGUAACAUCUCACCAUAAUGUCCUGGUCGCUUAAAGUGACAUCCGUGGUACAGCCAUCAAUCAGCAUUCAUCAAGGCAAUAAACAAAAUCCUCAGGGAUUUCAGCAGAA